rnacentral:rRNA from 1 species
AUUGAACGCUGGCGGCAGGCCUAACACAUGCAAGUCGAGCGAGCGGCGGACGGGUGAGUAAUGUCUGGGCAACUGCCCGAUGGAGGGGGAUAACUACUGGAAACGGUAGCUAAUACCGCAUACCAUCGGAUGUGCCCAGAUGGGAUUAGCUAGUCGGUGGGGGAACGGCUCACCUAGGCGACGAUCCCUAGCUGGUCUGAGAGGAUGAACAGCAACACUGGAACUGAGACACGGUCCAGACUCCUACGGGAGGCAGCAGUGGGGAACUUUGUACAAUGGGCGCAAGCCUGAUGCAGCCAUGCCGCGUGUAUGAAGAAGGCCUUCGGGUUGUAAAGUACUUUCAGCGAGGAGUCGUUACUCGCAGAAGAAGCACCGGCUAACUCCGUGCCAGCAGCCGCGGUAAUAC